CGGCUCUCGCAUCGAUGAAGAACGUAGCGAAAUGCGAUACUUGGUGUGAAUUGCAGAAUCCCGUGAACCAUCGAGUCUUUGAACGCAAGUUGCGCCCGAAGCCAUUUGGCCGAGGGCACGUCUGCCUGGGCGUCACGCAUCUCUCCGCCCCCCCUCCCCCGACAUC
rnacentral:rRNA from 1 species